UUGCAUUCAUAAGCGGAGGAAAAGAAACCAACCGGGAUUGCCUUAGUAACGGCGAGUGAAGCGGCAAAAGCUCAAAUUUGAAAUCUGGUACCUUCGGUGCCCGAGUUGUAAUUUGGAGAGGGCAACUUUGGGGCCGUUCCUUGUCUAUGUUCCUUGGAACAGGACGUCAUAGAGGGUGAGAAUCCCGUGUGGCGAGGAGUGCGGUUCUUUGUAAAGUGCCUUCGAAGAGUCGAGUUGUUUGGGAAUGCAGCUCUAAGUGGGUGGUAAAUUCCAUCUAAAGCUAAAUAUUGGCGAGAGACCGAUAGCGAACAAGUACAGUGAUGGAAAGAUGAAAAGAACUUUGAAAAGAGAGUGAAAAAGUACGUGAAAUUGUUGAAAGGGAAGGGCAUUUGAUCAGACAUGGUGUUUUGUGCCCUCUGCUCCUUGUGGGUAGGGGAAUCUCGCAUUUCACUGGGCCAGCAUCAGUUUUGGUGGCAGGAUAAAUCCAUAGGAAUGUAGCUUGCCUCGGUAAGUAUUAUAGCCUGUGGGAAUACUGCCAGCUGGGACUGAGGACUGCGACGUAAGUCAAGGAUGCUGGCAUAAUGGUUAUAUGCCGCCCGUCUUGACCCGGGACCA
rnacentral:rRNA from 1 species